rnacentral:rRNA from 1 species
UACGAAGGGAUCUAGCGUUGUUCGGAAUUACUGGGCGUAAAGGGUGCGUAGGCGGCUUUACAAGUCAGAAGUGAAAGCCCAAGGCUCAACCUUGGAAUUGCUUUUGAUACUGUAUUGCUUGAGGAUAGGAGAGGUCAGUGGAAUUCCCAGUGUAGAGGUGAAAUUCGUAGAUAUUGGGAAGAACACCAGUGGCGAAGGCGACUGACUGGACUAUAUCUGACGCUGAGGCACGAAAGUGUGGGGAUCAAACAGG